AAACUGGUUUACGUUUUGCAUGAAAAACGACCCGGUUAUAACCAUCACAAGAAAGCAGGAGCCAUGAACGCCCUUAUUCGAGUGUCUGCAGUGCUUACAAAUGCACCAUUCAUGCUCAAUCUGGAUUGUGAUCACUAUGUCAACAACAGUAAAGCUGUAAGAGAAGCUAUGUGCUUCUUAAUGGACC